rnacentral:rRNA from 1 species
ACGCUCGACACCUACGGGAGGCAGCAGGUGGGGGAUAUUGCACAAGUGGGGGAAACCCUGAUGCAGCAACGCCGCGUGAGGGAAGACGGUUUUCGGAUUGUAAACCUCUGUCCUUGGUGACGAUAAUGACGGUAGCCAAGGAGGAAGCUCCGGCUAACUACGUGCCAAACAGCCGCGGUAAUCUGAGCGGGCUGGCAAGGC